AACACGCCCUCAUUUCUUUUGUUGAAGAGGGUUUCUCUUCAAACCCUAGCAGCCGUCUGCUCUUCCUCUCUCACAUCACAAAAUUGCCAGUAUUACAGUCAUCCUUGCCCGUUUUGGAUAAGAGCAUUAAUUUCUCUUAUCCUCUCUCCAUUGAUACACCACCGAGAAUAGGUAAAACCUUCAUCUCUCCCUUUCUUUUUUGCUUUUCUGCUCAAACAAGGACAAAACCUUAAUGGUUUUUGUCCAUUUGUUCUCAAUUUCUAUUGGUUUUUGUUGAAUCACAAGGAUUUACAAAGAAAUCCCUCAAAAAAUCAAAGUCCCACAUCGGUUGAAAGCCCUGAGUUGGGGUUUUGGGGUUCUAUAUAAAGAACCCCAUUUUCUACCACGCACUGACACAAGCUUUUACAAGCAAAAAACCUAAGAUUUUGAGUUUGUGACAAAGUGACCGACUAGAAUUGGAACACUUGGUCUAUUUCUCUAAUUUUGGGAUCUAGUUUAAAUUUUUCUUUUGUUUUGUGGUUGAGUACGAGUGUGGAGGAGUUCAAGAUCCCCAAAUCCAUUCUUGACAAAGGCUGCUCUAGGAAGAGGUGAAGUUAAAUUUUCAUUUAAUCUCAAAAAAUCAAACGAGACAGUCAAGAGACAUGGCUAAAUCUCAUCUUCACUGCCCGACUUUUAUUGCUCUCUUGUUUUGCUUCCUCAUUGCAUCAACUGAUAUGCAAAUGGCAGAAGCAUUUGGUUGUAAAAAGCUCAGCCAAACAGUGUUUCUUGAGCAAUGCGUUGAUAGUGAUGGCUGUAACCAUCAAUGCAUCAACUGGAAGCAUGCUCUCUUGUGACUUGGACUGGGGUCGAACCGCUUGCUAUUGCUACUUCUGUAAUUGAUCAUUGUAUUUAGGCAAAAAAUAUUUGCAUUUCCUUAAAUUUGUGAGAUUAAUUAUAAUGUGAAGGAUUUGAUCUUGUCUGCCUUUUGCUACUUCAGCUGAUCCAUAAUCAUCGUAUUUCAGCA